rnacentral:rRNA from 1 species
UACGGAGGGUGCGAGCGUUGUUCGGAAUCACUGGGCGUAAAGCGCGUGUAGGCGGUCCGCUAAGUCUGAUGUGAAAGCCCGGGGCUCACCCCCGGAAGGGCAUUGGAUACUGGUGGACUCGAGUCCCGGAGAGGAGGGUGGAAUUCCUGGUGUAGCGGUGAAAUGCGUAGAUAUCAGGAGGAACACCGGUGGCGAAGGCGGCUUCCUGGACAGUAACUGACGCUGAGACGCGAAAGCGUGGGGAGCAAACAGG